rnacentral:rRNA from 1 species
UACAGAGGGUGCAAGCGUUAAUCGGAAUUACUGGGCGUAAAGCGUGCGUAGACGGUUAUGUAAGUCGGGUGUGAAAGCCCCGGGCUCAACCUGGGAAUUGCAUUCGAGACUGUGUAGCUAGGGUACGGAGGAGGGAAGCGGAAUUUCAGGUGUAGCGGUGAAAUGCGUAGAUAUCUGAAGGAACACCAGUGGCGAAAGCGGCUUCCUGGUCCAGUACCGACGUUCAGGCACGAAAGCGUGGGGAGCAAACAGG